GUAGUACUCCCUCCGUUCGGAAUUACUUGUCGCGAAAAUGAAUGUAUCUAGAACUAAAAUACGUCUAGAUACAUCCAUUUCUGCGACAAGUAAUUCCGAACGGAGGGAGUAGUAU
rnacentral:pre_miRNA from 1 species